UACGUAGGUCCCGAGCGUUGUCCGGAUUUAUUGGGCGUAAAGCGAGCGCAGGUGGUUUAUUAAGUCUGGUGUAAAAGGCAGUGGCUCAACCAUUGUAUGCAUUGGAAACUGGUAGACUUGAGUGCAGGAGAGGAGAGUGGAAUUCCAUGUGUAGCGGUGAAAUGCGUAGAUAUAUGGACGAACACCGGUGGCGAAAGCGGCUCUCUGGCCUGUAACUGACACUGAGGCUCGAAAGCGUGGGGAGCAAACAGG
rnacentral:rRNA from 1 species